rnacentral:rRNA from 1 species
CUGCUGCCUCCCGUAGGAGUCUGGUCCGUGUCUCAGUACCAGUGUGGGGGACCUUCCUCUCAGAACCCCUACGCGUCGUCGCCUCGGUGGGCCGUUACCCCGCCGACUAGCUAAUGCGCCGCAUGGCCAUCCGCAGCCGAUGAAUCUUUAACCGCCGAGGGAUGCCCCUCCGCGGUGUUACGCGGUAUUAGACGGAAUUUCUUCCGCUUAUCCCCCUGCUGCGGGCAGGUUCCAUACGUGUUACUCACCCGUGCGCCGGUCGCCGGCGGG